rnacentral:rRNA from 1 species
GAUGAACGCUGGCGGCGUGCUUAACACAUGCAAGUCGAACGGUGAAGCAGGAGCUUGCUCUUGUGGAUCAGUGGCGAACGGGUGAGUAACACGUGAGCAACCUGCCCCUGACUCUGGGAUAAGCGCUGGAAACGGCGUCUAAUACUGGAUAUGUGAUGUGACCGCAUGGUCUGCAUCUGGAAAGAAUUUCGGUUGGGGAUGGGCUCGCGGCCUAUCAGCUUGUUGGUGAGGUAAUGGCUCACCAAGGCGUCGACGGGUAGCCGGCCUGAGGGGGCGACCGGCCACACUGGGACUGAGACACGGCCCAGACUCCUACGGGAGGCAGCAGUGGGGAAUAUUGCACGAUGGGCGGAAGCCUGAUGCAGCAACGCCGCGUGAGGGAUGACGGCCUUCGGGUUGUAAACCUCUUUUAGCAGGGAAGAAGCGAAAGUGACGGUACCUGCAGAAAAAGCACCGGCUAACUACGUGCCAGCCGCCGCAGUAA